CCCCACCCCCCAUCGGUCAUCCCUUCCGGUGGUAGUGAGGGAUGGAUCCCAAGAGGAGAAAGACACAAGACUCCGCAUAGAAUGCUGAUUCCAGUGCUGCGGAUUCUGGGAAUUCUGGUGUGGCAGAGUCGAAAGCCACUGAUUCGAAGGCCAAGCCUGUGGAACUCAAUGCGAAAGCCAAAAAGAGUAAUUUCGUCUCCUGAAAUGGCGCUCUUCUCCAAUAUACCCCAAAGCAAUGGAAAAAGGCAAAAGCACUCUGAAAGUUUUCAUAAGCAGCAGCUUGAGCAAAGGCGUGGUAGUCGGCCGGUGCAGAUCAUGUAUGUAUUUUGAUCAUAAACAGUUAGAUCCAUGUGGUGUAGUAAUGCUAGGGGACCAUCACAAGUGAUGAUGACUAAUAAAUAUUUCAAAAUGAUCCAUUUGAUUGA